GUUUCCGUAGUGUAGCGGUUAUCAACGCCGGCCUAACACGCAGAAGGUCCCCGGUUCGAUUCCGGGCGGAAACA